GCCGCGUGAGUGAAGAAGGUUUUCGGAUCGUAAAACUCUGUUGUUAGAGAAGAACAAGGAUGAGAGUAACUGUUCAUCCCUUGACGGUAUCUAACCAGAAAGCCACGGCUAACUACGUGCCAGCAGCCGCGGUAAUACGUAGGUGGCAAGCGUUGUCCGGAUUUAUUGGGCGUAAAGCGAGCGCAGGCGGUUUCUUAAGUCUGAUGUGAAAGCCCCCGGCUCAACCGGGGAGGGUCAUUGGAAACUGGGAGACUUGAGUGCAGAAGAGGAGAGUGGAAUUCCAUGUGUAGCGGUG
rnacentral:rRNA from 1 species